rnacentral:rRNA from 1 species
GACGAACGCUGGCGGCGUGCUUAACACAUGCAAGUCGAACGGAAAGGCCCUGCUUGCAGGGUACUCGAGUGGCGAACGGGUGAGUAACACGUGGGUGAUCUGCCCUGCACUUCGGGAUAAGCCUGGGAAACUGGGUCUAAUACCGGAUAGGAGCCAUUUUUAGUGUGAUGGUUGGAAAGUUUUUUCGGUGUAGGAUGAGCUCGCGGCCUAUCAGCUUGUUGGUGGGGUAAUGGCCUACCAAGGCGGCGACGGGUAGCCGGCCUGAGAGGGUGGACGGCCACAUUGGGACUUAGAGGCGGCACAGAUGCCUACGGGAGGCAGCAGUGGGGAAGAUUGCACAAUGGGCGCAAGCCUGAUGCAGCGACGCCGCGUGGGGGAUGACGGCCUUCGGGUUGUAAACUCCGUUCGCUCGGGACGAAGCUUUUUGUGACGGUACCUAGAGAAGAAGCACCGGCUAACUACGUG